rnacentral:rRNA from 1 species
CCCAGACUCCUACGGGAGGCAGCAGUCGGGAAUAUUGCGCAAUGGAGGAAACUCUGACGCAGUGACGCCGCGUGCAGGAAGAAGGUUUUCGGAUUGUAAACUGCUUUAGACAGGGAAGAAACAAGACAGUACCUGUAGAAUAAGCUCCGGCUAACUACGUGCCAGCAGCCGCGGUAAUACGUAGGGAGCAAGCGUUAUCCGGAUUUAUUGGGUGUAAAGGGUGCGUAGACGGGAAAACAAGUUAGUUGUGAAAUCCCUCGGCUUAACUGAGGAACUGCAACUAAAACUAUUUUUCUUGAGUGUUGGAGAGGAAAGUGGAAUUCCUAGUGUAGCGGUGAAAUGCGUAGAUAUUAGGAGGAACACCAGUGGCGAAGGCGACUUUCUGAACAAUAACUGACGUUGAGGCACGAAAGUGUGGGGAGCAAACAGGAUUAGAUACCCCUGUA